AACAGCCUUUUUGGGUGUGAUUUUGUGGAAGCGUGAAGAAGUUUAAACGCCUUUCAUUGCCUGCAUUAUUCGUGCACUUUGGGUGUACUUUGCCCGUAUGGUUGGUUAACAUCAAUUUCGGUGGUCAUAAAAUGACUGGAGGAAUGUAGCUUCGAUCUUGUAUUGAAGUGUUAUAGCCUUCGGUAGAUGUGAUGAUCGAGAUUGAGGAUUGCAACGGAUACCCUUCGGGGCUACCUGUCUGGUCUCUGAUCGUUGCUCUGGUGCCGAAAGCUUGCUUACGGUUAUCAAAGUCGAUGGUCAAUAGGUUAGAACAGGUUAAAUUUGUUAAGGAUGUUGACGUAAUGGCUUU
rnacentral:rRNA from 1 species